CUGCUGCCUUCCGUAGGAGUUUGGGCCGUGUCUCAGUCCCAAUGUGGCCGGUUCACCCUCUCAGGCCGGCUACUGAUCGUUGCCUUGGUAGGCCAUUACCCCACCAACUAGCUAAUCAGACGCGGAACCAUCGUAUACCACCAGAGUUUUUCACACCGCUUCAUGCGAAGCUGUGCGCUUAUGCGGUAUUAGCACCUAUUUCUAAGUGUUAUCCCCCAGUAUACGGCAGGUUUUCCACGCGUUACUCACCCGUCCGCCA
rnacentral:rRNA from 1 species